UGUCUUCAAUCAGACUGAUAUAGUUUUCAUUCUCAUGGAGCUGGGGCAAGCCUAGAGUACAAGAAUGCACAAGGAGAAACGCCCUUUCGAUUGUGCGCCAGCUACGUUGCAAUACAAAAUGCGAAAGAAGAUGGAAGAGGGCAAGGCAAUGGAUGGUCAAAGCAUUUGAUUAACAUGUUACUACUUCUCUACUUUACUUGCUUAUGCUUUGGCUUGGGGAGGCCAAAGCAAGAUUGACAAAAUACCAGCGUCUAAGAGACCUUUGUUUGCCCAACAAUACAUUUUGGCUUCUAUAUAAUGCAAAAGGGUGUUUAUUUC